GUAAGCGCAAGUCAUCAGCUUGCGUUGAUUACGUCCCUGCCCUUUGUACACACCGCCCGUCGCUACUACCGAUUGAAUGGCUCAGUGAGGCGUCCGGACUGGCCCAGGGAGGUGGGCAACUACCACCCAGGGCCGGAAAGCUCUCCAAACUCGGUCAUUUAGAGGAAGUAAAAGUCGUAACAAGGUCUCCGUUGGUGAACCAGCGGAGGGAUCAUUACC
rnacentral:rRNA from 1 species